rnacentral:rRNA from 1 species
GUGCCAGCAGCCGCGGUAAUACGAAGGGUGCAAGCGUUACUCGGAAUUACUGGGCGUAAAGCGUGCGUAGGUGGUUGAUUAAGUCUGUCGUGAAAGCCCUGGGCUCAACCUGGGAAUUGCGAUGGAAACUGGUUGACUAGAGUGUGGCAGAGGGUAGUGGAAUUCCUGGUGUAGCAGUGAAAUGCGUAGAGAUCAGGAGGAACAUCCGUGGCGAAGGCGACUGCCUGGGCCAACACUGACACUGAGGCACGAAAGCGUGGGGAGCAAACAGGAUUAGAUACCCUGGUAGUCC